UACGUAGGGUGCAAGCGUUAAUCGGAAUUACUGGGCGUAAAGCGUGCGCAGGCGGCUUUGCAAGACAGAUGUGAAAUCCCCGGGCUUAACCUGGGAACUGCAUUUGUGACUGCAUGGCUGGAGUGCGGCAGAGGGGGAUGGAAUUCCGCGUGUAGCAGUGAAAUGCGUAGAUAUGCGGAGGAACACCGGUGGCGAAGGCAAUCCCCUGGGCCUGCACUGACGCUGAGGCGCGAAAGCGUGGGGAGCAAACAGG
rnacentral:rRNA from 1 species